GAUGAAGAACGCAUCGAAAUGCGAUACGUAAUGUGAAUUGCAAAUUCAGUGAAUCAUCGAGUCUUUGAACGCACAUUGCGCCCCCUGGUAUUCCGGGGGGCAUGCCUGUCCGAGCGUCAUUGCUGCCCUCAAGCACGGCUUGUGUGUUGGGCCCCGUCCUCCGAUCCCGGGGGACGGGCCCGAAAGGCAGCGGCGGCACCGCGUCCGGUCCUCGAGCGUAUGGGGCUUUGUCACCCGCUCUGUAGGCCCGGCCGGCGCUUGCCGAUCAACCCAAAUUUUUAUCCAGGUUGACCUCGGAUAAGGUAGGGAUACCCGCUGAACUUAAGCAUAUCAAUAAGCGGAGGA
rnacentral:misc_RNA from 1 species